UCUGAUUAGCUAGUUGGUAGGGUAAAAGCCUACCAAGGCAUCGAUCAGUAACUGGUCUGAGAGGAUGACCAGUCACACUGGGACUGAGACACGGCCCAGACUCCUACGGGAGGCAGCAGUGGGGAAUUUUCCGCAAUGGGCGAAAGCCUGACGGAGCAAUACCGCGUGAGGGAGGAAGGCUCUUGGGUUGUAAACCUCUUUUCUCAGGGAAGAACAAAAUGACGGUACCUGAGGAAUCAACAUCGGCUAACUCCGUGCCAGCAGCCGCGGUAAUACGGAGGAUGCAAGCGUUAUCCGGAAUGAUUGGGCGUAAAGCGUCCGCAGGUGGCUGCUUCAAGUCUGCUGUCAAAGCUCAGGGCUUAACCCUGAAUCGGCGGUGGAAACUGAACAGCUAGAGUGCGGUAGGGGUAGAGGGAAUUCCCAGUGUAGCGGUGAAAUGCGUAGAGAUUGGGAAGAACACCAGUGGCGAAAGCGCUCUGCUGGACCGCAACUGACACUCAUGGACGAAAGCUAGGGGAGCGAAUGGGAUUAGAUACCCCAGUAGUCCUAGCCGU
rnacentral:rRNA from 1 species